ACGGGAGGCAGUAGUGGGGGAUAUUGCACAAUGGGGGAAACCCUGAUGCAGCGACGCCGCGUGAGUGAUGAAGUAUUUCGGUAUGUAAAGCUCUAUCAGCAGGAAAGAUAAUGACGGUACCUGACUAAGAAGCACCGGCUAAAUACGUGCCAGCAGCCGCGGUAAUACGUAUGGUGCAAGCGUUAUCCGGAUUUACUGGGUGUAAAGGGAGCGCAGACGGCAUGGCAAGCCAGAUGUGAAAGGCAGGGGCUCAACUCCUGGACUGCAUUUGGAACUGUCAAGCUAGAGUAUCGGAGAGGUAAGUGGAAUUCCUAGUGUAGCGGUGAAAUGCGUAGAUAUUAGGAGGAACACCAGUGGCGAAGGCGGCUUACUGGACGAUAACUGACGUUGAGGCUCGAAAGCGUAGGGAGCAAACAGGAUUAGAUACCCUGGUA
rnacentral:rRNA from 1 species